CAGGUGCAUCGAUGCAGCAGUUUCUUAGUUGGAAUCAAACUCGGCACACCAAAUGGUUUUGCCAUGGAAGCAGGCCAGGCUGGCAAAGAACGCCUCGUCACAAGAAUAUUCUCCAUGGCGACGUCGUAGUGAGGCCGACAGAAGACCCUGUUCUCAAACAGUCCACACUCCUCUCCAGUGGAGAGCUGGCGCUUGCAUGAGGCACAGGAGAAACACGCUAGAUGGAAGGUGCUGCCUUUUGCCCGACGCACCCAGUCAGUAGAGUGGAUAUUACGACCACACCGAGCGCAGCGAGUACCGUACCUCCUGAAGAAAACAAAAGGAGUUUGUAAAGGACUGGCUUAAGGCUGACAUUUGAGAACUGUAUGCAGUUUCUUCUGCUUUAAGAAUCUGAUAGUUUGACCAUAUCAUUUGAAGAUAGCAUGUGAAGCCCACUCCUAACAAGGAUCACAGGAGGUGCACAGAGUUUUACCCUGCAACGAGCCCACCAUGGGAACAGAAGACAAUGAGGAUGAGGAGAGGGAGGAUGGAGAGUAGGAGUCGUCCUCAAAAAUGUCAUCAGACCCAGAGGAGCCCUGUGAAAUAUCAAAGUAUUGUCAAAUAAAAUGCUAUUUGAGAUUAAAUCUAGU